CAAAGCUAGUUCCCUCGACUGAGACACCUUUUCUAAGGCAUUCAUGAAUUUCUCGGCGUCCCCUUCUUUCGUGGCUUUGUAUAGGUCACGAUCCAUAAUUUUGCUCAAAUCACCAUCUUCGAGCCAUCGUUGGUUAUGUGGAGGUAGGACAUUUCUUGCUUUUAAAUCUUCAAGCCUUUCCUCUGGCGUAGCCCUUGUUUCCCUCCCAUCAAUGCUUAUUAUGUGAUCCAUUUCGAACGGCGCGAGUCUUUGUUGGAGCAAACAAGCAAGCAGA